rfam:Triticum urartu cultivar G1812 contig287809, whole genome shotgun sequence.
GUGGUACUCCCUCCGUCCGGAAAUACUUGUCCGAGGAAUGGAUGUAUUUAGAUGUAUUUUUCUUCUAGAUACAUCCAUUUGUAUCCAUUUCUCCGACAAGUAUUUCUGGAUGGAGGGAGUAUAAA